GUGGUCUAGUGGUAUGAUUCGCGCUUCGGGUGCGCGAGGUCCCGGGUUCGAUUCUCGGCUCA
rnacentral:tRNA from 1 species